AAAUAAAUGUAUCUCUAUUCAUUAGCUAGAAAAGCUCUGUUUUGUUUCAAGAAGUGAUUACUGAAAACACUUUACCAUGUAUUUUAUCAGCAAACAAGAUGGCAUUAAGUGGCAAUAUGUUAAAAUUAGUUGUCUUCCAUUCUUUUAACUUUACUGGAAAAAGUUAUAUUCUCUUUUCAGAUUGUAUUUCCCUAAGUAUAAAACAGAUGCAUUUGGAUAAAUAUAUUGGAACAUAAUAUUAAAUUAAAUGAAGAAAAGGAAAUAUAAUGAAAUAACAUCCAAGUAUCAGAAAAAAAAAUUCUUUUCACAGGCUUGGAGUGGAAAUCUAAUGUUCCUUCUCUAUUUUAUCCUGCUAUGAGGAUGACAGGCCACAGGACAGAGCUGGUGGAAAAAGGUGCGCUGGAGUUAUGAUCACAAUUUGAAAUACCACAAGGGUUUAACAAGCACUUUGAAGUAGAGUAGAAAAUGAUUGGACUCACAGAAAACAGUCCCAUUUCAGUGUCAAGCUAUUCUCUUAGGCAGUGAGUGCUAAAGAAUCCCAUGACCGUUGGGAAACAAGUGAAUAAGGAGCACAAAGCAAAAUCUGCACAAUUAAUCAAGUAACUAAGAUACAAAAUCUCAGAACAGAUGUGUCAUAUUGCAAAUAAUAGUUGUUUUGCAGAGAAAUGAAUAAACUUACUUUCAGGCCA